CACCAAAAUUCAUAUGGAGGCUUGGUCCCUAAUGUAACUGUGUUGAGAAGUGGAGGGGACAUUAAGAGGCAUUUUAGGUCCCAGAGAUCUGCCCUCAUGAAGAGAUGAACUCAGUUACCUUGAGAGUGGAUUAGUUAUCAGGAGAGCAAGUUGUGCUUCUUUAGCUCUUCUGGCUUUUGGUCUUGCACACGUACUCCUUCCCCAUGUGCCUACUUGCUCUUCUGCUUUUCUGCUAUGCAGGGAACAGCAUGAGGCCCUCACCAGAAGCUGAACAGAUGCCAGCACCAUGCUCUUGGACUACCAAAACUCUCCACCAUGGUCCAAGCCCCCAUCACUCUCCCUAGAAACUUAGUUAACUUCAAAGGAGCACCCAAGAAUGAUACAUCUUUUAUGAGCACUUAGACAUAAUUAUAAUACAACUCUUUGAGGACAGAGGACCUGCAUGGGAAAUGCUGAGGAGACAAGAUGAAAGCUUUCAUUCAGAUUUGGUGUGUUUCCUUUUUCUUUUGUCCACUCUGCCAAGUGAAGGCUGGUGUUACAAGAGCCGGCGGCUGAAGGAGGCGAAUCUGAG